AGUGAUUAUAGCAAGGGACUAUGCUGAGCAUAGCAAUCCCUUGUAGCAGUUUCCCCCAAUAAGCGACAGGACUCAGAUUGAGGGUGAAGUAGAACUGACUGUACUGGCACAUACAGCCUCUUUUAUUCACAAUCCACAAACAUAGUACUGCCCACAGGGUUUUGAAAUACAACCAAAUAAUCUGUACAAUACACACAGACA